rfam:Oryza barthii chromosome 2, whole genome shotgun sequence.
UUUAAGUGCAACCAUGAGUUUCCAUGUCCAACUUUGAUCGUCCGUUUUAUUUGAAUUUUUUUUAUAAUUAGUAUUUUUGUUGUUAUGAGAUGAAAAAAUAUGAACAAUACUUUAUUCAUGACUUAUGUUUUUAAAUUUUUUUAAAUAAGACGGACGAUUAAAAUUGGGCACGGAAAAUUAUGGCUACACUUAAA